rnacentral:rRNA from 1 species
AUGGUGACCACGCCAGUACUCGCACUCCCAGACUUCGACAAGCCAUUCGUGAUUGAGACGGACGCUUGCGACACUGGCAUUGGCGCGGUGCUGGUACAAGAAGGCCACCCGAUCGCUUACUACAGCAAAGCGCUGGGGGUGAAGAAUCAGAAAUUGUCAACAUACGAGAAGGAGUUCUUGGCAGUGAUGAUGGCAGUGGACAAGUGGCGUUCUUACCUUCAGCGUGGGCCAUUCAAAAUUCUCACAGAUCACAAAAGCUUGUGCUCUUUGGGCGAUCAGCAGUUGGUGACCGAUGUUCAGCGCCGCGCAAUGUCGAAGUUGGUUGGACUGCAGUUCAAGUUUCAGUAUAAACGCGGCAUUGACAAUGGCGCAGCAGAUGCGCUAUCUCGA